CUGGCGGCAGGCCUAACACAUGCCAGUCGAGCGGUCACUUCCGUGGGAGCGGCGGACGGGUUAGUAACGCGUGGGAAUAUGCCCUUCUCUAAGGAAUAGCCUCUGGAAACGGAGAGUAGUACCUUAUACGCCCUUUGGGGGAAAGAUUUAUCGGAGAAGGAUUAGCCCGCGUUAGAUUAGGUAGUUGGUGGGGUAAUGGCCUACCAAGCCUACGAUCUAUAGCUGGUUUGAGAGGAUGAUCAGCCACACUGGGACUGAGACACGGCCCAGACUCCUACGGGAGGCAGCAGUAGGGAAUCUUAGACAAUGGGGGCAACCCUGAUCUAGCCAUGCCGCGUGUGUGAUGAAGGCCCUAGGGUCGUAAAGCACUUUCGCCAGAGAUGAUAAUGACAGUAUCUGGUAAAGAAACCCCGGCUAACUCCGUGCCAGCAGCCGCGGUAAUACGGAGGGGGUUAGCGUUGUUCGGAAUUACUGGGCGUAAAGCGCACGUAGGCGGAUUAGUAAGUUAGAGGUGAAAUCCCAGGGCUCAACCCUGGAACUGCCUUUAAUACUGCUAGUCUUGAGUUCGAGAGAGGUAAGUGGAAUUCCGAGUGUAGAGGUGAAAUUCGUAGAUAUUCGGAGGAACACCAGUGGCGAAGGCGGCUUACUGGCUCGAUACUGACGCUGAGGUGCGAAAGUGUGGGGAGCAAACAGGAUUAGAUACCCUGGUAGUCCACACCGUAAACGAUGAAUGCCAGACGUCAGCAAGUAUACUUGUUGGUGUCACACCUAACGGAUUAAGCAUUCCGCCUGGGGAGUACGGUCGCAAGAUUAAAACUCAAAGGAAUUGACG
rnacentral:rRNA from 1 species